AGCGGCGGACGGGUGAGUAACGCGUAGGAAUCUACCCAGUAGCGGGGGAUAGCCCGGGGAAACUCGGAUUAAUACCGCAUACGCCCUAUGGGGGAAAGAUGGCCUCUUCUUGAAAGCUAUCGCUAUUGGAGGAGCCUGCGUUGGAUUAGCUUGUUGGUGAGGUAAAGGCUCACCAAGGCGACGAUCUUUAGCUGGUCUGAGAGGACGAUCAGCCACAUUGGGACUGAGACACGGCCCAGACUCCUACGGGAGGCAGCAAUGGGGAAUAUUGGACAAUGGGCGCAAGCCUGAUCCAGCCAUAACCGCGUGUGUGAAGAAGGGCUUCGGGUUGUAAAAGCACUUUAAGCCAGGGAGCACAAAAGUUAUAAGUUAAUACCUUAUAGCCGUGAUGUUACCUGCAGAAUAAGCACCGGCUUAAUUCCGUGGCAGCAGCCGCGGUAAUUCGGAAGGUUGCAGCGUUAUCGGAAUUACUUGGGCGUAAAGCGCGCGUAGGUGGUUUGAUAAGUUGGAUGUGAAAGCCCUGGGCUCAACCUAGGAACUGCAUCCCAAACUAACUCUCUAGAGUACGAUAGAGGGAAGGAGAAUUCCUAGUGUAGCGGGGGAAUGCGUAGAAUUUAUGGAGAAUACCGUUGGGAAAGCGGCU
rnacentral:rRNA from 1 species